CUAAGGGUUUAGAGCUUUAGUAUCAGGGACUUUGGACACUGUCGACAAACAAGUUAUUAGGAGCUUUUUCAAGUACUCCUGCUGGGGUCAUGUGGGCUGUUGGCCAAACUAUUUCUUCUGUACUCAGACUUCAGGAAGACGCGGUUUCUUUUUCCGUGAGAGGACUGUGGCGAUUAUAAGCUGGCAUGGGUUUGGGGUACAGUUGCCUAAUCUUAGAGGGUGACUGGAAAAACCCAGAUGUGAGGGACGCGGGCCACAAAAAGGCCUCCUGAGGGAGUUCCCUGGUGGUCCAGUGGUGAAGGAUUUGGUGGCGUCACUGCUGUGGCUCAGGUUUGAUCCCUCACCACGGAUAAAUAAGUUAAUUCUCUAUAAGUAAGUUAAUUGGUUCACCUUGAUGUUUUCCAGGAAAUGAAGAAAUUGGUUUUAAAAGUUGUCUUAUGCUAAUAUCUGAUGAGGGAAUCUGGACAUAUCUUGAGGACGUUCACUGCGGUGUCAGGCCCUCUCCAUCCCCUGACAGCGAUGCUCCAUAACCAUUUACUGAUUUUUCUAAGAAGCAGGUGAUACUGUGAUUUAUACUAAGAAAUAUACACUUGGGUGUUCAUCCACAGUUCCUGGCUCACAGUUCCCAAAUCCCUUACAAUUUCCUAAUUGAUGAGAGCGAUAAAGGCAUCUUUUGUUCAAAUAUUUGGUUUUGUCCUCAGAUUCUGAAAUAGCUUCAGAGGGGUAAACAUGACGUCAUAUGACAGAAUGAUGAUAAUGUUGUAAAUUAACUACACUUCAAUGAAAUUUUUUUAAAAAACCCUAUGAAAUCAGCAUCUUUUGUUAUUCACAACAAAUCCUUCCGACCGUAUCUGCAUUUCUGUUCAUGGGAGGAAUUUUGGAAAGCCCCUAGAUAAUCACAGGGUGGGAGCUGGUUGCCAAGGAAACAAACCACAGGACUGGAAAGUUUAUUUCCUCCCCUCCUACUUCUGGGGAAGGGAAAGGGGCUGAAGGUUGAAUACUCACCAGUGGCUAAUAAUUU
rnacentral:lncRNA from 9 species